rnacentral:misc_RNA from 1 species
GGACAAUUUGUUCCUACCACGGCACAAGGUGUUCUAACCACGACAGUCGAGGGCUACAGCUACAUCUUCGGUUUUUGUCUCGCGAGGAUGGAAUCUCAAGAGAAAAAUAUUGUACUUCCUACCCCCCAAGGUGAUAAUAAACUAUCGGUAGAUGAAUCUUUACUUGUGUGCUUGUCUCAUAACAAACCAAAAAACGGUGGCAACUUUAAUUGUUCCGAAAGGUUGAUCUUGCCCUCAUCGAUUGGAUUAAAGAAAUACCUUAUGAACCAAGGGUAGAAGUUGUGCUUAUCGAUGAUGCCUUUGUGGAAAGAAAAUAGAUGGAAUGUCUAUUUCAACCGGGCGCAUAUCUAGGUGAUGAGAUCUUGAGGUCGUGUACACAUAGAAAAUGCUUUUCAGUUCAACUUUCUAAAGCGAGACGGUGAUGUUGAAACUAAAACAGAUGAGUUAUAUCCAAUUAAAGACAUGGCACAAAUAUGUAGUGCUGAACGAAAGGUUUUACUCUACCUAGACCAUGAUAUGGUGUUUGUUCCGAUAAACAUCCGAGGAACGCACUGGUAUCUUGCUGUCAUCAAUGCAAGAAAUAUGGAGAUACCAGCGCUCAAUUCACUUGGUACUUCAUUCGACCGCAAUGACCUCACGGACUCGAGUAUACUUCUAAGUAAAGUGCUGAGAAUGCAACAAGAUCUUGAAGAUGAGAAAAACAAAACUACCAUCAAAGAUCUGGAAAACAAAGUCAGAAAUUACGAAGCUGCUCUGAAGGAAAAGGACUUCGUCAUUCAAGACCUUGAAAUCAAAAUUAAAGAUCACGAAGGUGCCUUGGAAAAGAAAGACUUCGUCAUUCAUUCUAUGGAAGGUUCACUGGCUGAAGCGCAAGCCGAAAAUAACAAAUUAAACAAUGAAUUACUUAUAAAAUCAGAAGAAUCUGAGCAAGAAAAGAAGAAUCUCGAAACAAGUCUCAAGACCGAAAUCGAGAAGAAUUCAAAUUUGCAAAAAAUCAUUGAAGGAGCUUCAGGAGAAAUGCUUAGAUUUCGGCAGCCGAUGUGUGCAGCGGCUGAAGGAUGUGUUUCACUCAAUUGGAGCCAGCUCUGAUAAGUUUACACCUUCAGCUGAAAACCUGCCAAGCACCUUGGAAUACAUUGAGGGCGAAGUUGAUGCACUUGACGAAGUUAUUGCUGGGCAUGCUGAUUUCUGCGCCCUGCUGGCUUCUCGAGGCACGGCUACCGCUUUCCUGAAGGCUGGCUGCACGCACGGGAAAAUUGUAAAUAGGCCAAACUUCAGCUUGUCACCGGCAGAUUUGGUUGACAUCCCAAGCCUAGCCCGAAGCAUAGGAAACAGGUUUAUGACCCAGAUUUGGAUAAAUGGCGGGCGAAAAAUGGCUGGUGACGAAGCUCGGAGCCACCUUAAAUCAGAUGAUGAAGCUGAAGAAUGACAAGCUGAAGCUUAACAGAUGCUCCGAAGGACUUUUCUGCAAAAGAUUCUAG